rnacentral:rRNA from 1 species
AUACGGAAGGUCCGAGCGUUAUCCGGAUUUAUUGGGUUUAAAGGGAGCGUAGGCGGGAUGCCAAGUCAGUUGUGAAAGUCCGCGGCUCAACCGUGGAAUUGCAGUUGAAACUGGUAUUCUUGAGUGUACAUAACGAAGGUGGAAUUUGUGGUGUAGCGGUGAAAUGCUUAGAUAUCACGAAGAACUCCGAUUGCGAAGGCUGCCUUCGGGGGUACUAAUGACGCUGAGGAUCGAAAGUGCGGAAACCAAACAGGAUUAGAUACCCUGGUAGGCUGCACCGGAAGCGAUGGACACUCGGGGUUGGCCCUUGUGGUCAGUCACCCAGCGAAAGCGUUAAGUGUCCCCCCUGGGGAGUACGCCGGCAACGGUGAAACUCAAAUGAAUUGACGGGG